rnacentral:misc_RNA from 1 species
AUUUAGCGUUAGGGAUAGCAGUGAAAAUCCCGCAAUGAAGCAAAGCGAAAUGAGGAAUUGUAACGAAUAGCCCGACCCAAU